GCCGAAGUGGUGGAACUGGCAGACACGCGAGAUUUAGGUUCUCGUGCCCUCGGGUGUGCGGGUUCAAGUCCCGCCUUCGGCA
rnacentral:tRNA from 1 species